rnacentral:sRNA from 1 species
UGCAAUAGAUUCGGCUAUCAAGGGUGGUCGGCACAUCUCCUAAGAGAGGAGGUGAUGCCGUGGAAGUAAAGGAUGCUUUGACAUUGAUGUUCAUGUUUGGUAUGUUCAUCCUUUCCUUGCUUUCCUACUUAAAAAAGAAGUAAGACCUCCCUUGAGCUUGGAGGCCAGGAGGUCUUACUUCUUGCCUUUAUUAUUAGUAGCCGACUGCCAUUGAGGCAAUCUGUUGUACUGGCCGCAGUUAUUCUGCGG